GUGCCAGCCGCUGCGGUAAUACGGAGGGUGCAAGCGUUAAUCGGAAUUACUGGGCGUAAAGCGCACGCAGGCGGUCUGUCAAGUCGGAUGUGAAAUCCCCGGGCUCAACCUGGGAACUGCAUUCGAAACUGGCAGGCUGGAGUCUUGUAGAGGGGGUAGAAUUCCAGGUGUAGCGGUGAAAUGCGUAGAGAUCUGGAGGAAUACCGGUGGCGAAGGCGGCCCCCUGGACAAAGACUGACGCUCAGGUGCGAAAGCGUGGGGAGCAAACAGGAUUAGAUACCCUGGUAGUCCACGCCGUAAACGAUGUCGACUUGGAGGUUGUGCCCUUGAGGCGUGGCUUCCGGAGCUAACGCGUUAAGCGACCGCCUGGGGAGUACGGCCGCAAGGUUAAAACUCAAAUGAAUUGACGGGGCCCGCACAAGCGGUGGAGCAUGUGG
rnacentral:rRNA from 1 species